rnacentral:rRNA from 1 species
GUGGGGAAUAUUGGACAAUGGGCGAAAGCCUGAUCCAGCCAUGCCGCGUGUGUGAAGAAGGUCUUCGGAUUGUAAAGCACUUUAAGUUGGGAGGAAGGGCAGUAAGUUAAUACCUUGCUGUUUUGACGUUACCGACAGAAUAAGCACCGGCUAACUUCGUGCCAGCAGCCGCGGUAAUACGAAGGGUGCAAGCGUUAAUCGGAAUUACUGGGCGUAAAGCGCGCGUAGGUGGUUCAGCAAGUUGAAGGUGAAAUCCCCGGGCUCAACCUGGGAACUGCCUCCAAAACUACUGAGCUAGAGUACGGUAGAGGGUAGUGGAAUUUCCUGUGUAGCGGUGAAAUGCGUAGAUAUAGGAAGGAACACCAGUGGCGAAGGCGACUACCUGGACUGAUACUGACACUGAGGUGCGAAAGCGUGGGGAGCAAACAGGAUUAGAUACCCUUGUAGUCC